rnacentral:rRNA from 1 species
UACAGAGGUCUCAAGCGUUGUUCGGAUUCAUUGGGCGUAAAGGGUGCGUAGGUGGCGCCGUAAGUCAGGUGUGAAAUUUCGGAGCUUAACUCCGAAACUGCAUUUGAUACUUCGGUGCUUGAGGACUGGAGAGGAGACUGGAAUUUACGGUGUAGCAGUGAAAUGCGUAGAGAUCGUAAGGAAGACCAGUGGCGAAGGCGGGUCUCUGGACAGUUCCUGACACUGAGGCACGAAGGCCAGGGGAGCAAACGGG